UACAGAGGGGGCAAGCGUUGUCCGGAUUCAUUGGGCGUAAAGAGCGUGUAGGCGGCCAGGUAGGUCGGUUGUGAAAACUCGAGGCUCAACCUCGAGAUGUCGAUGGAAACCGUCUGGCUAGAGUCCGGAAGAGGAGUGUGGAAUUCCUGGUGUAGCGGUGAAAUGCGCAGAUAUCAGGAAGAACACCUAUGGCGAAGGCAGCACUCUGGGACGGUACUGACGCUGAGACGCGAAAGCGUGGGGAGCGAACAGG
rnacentral:rRNA from 1 species